CUUUAGAUAUGAUCCAGAGUACCACGGGACACGUGAAACCCUGUGGGAAGCAGGAGGGACCACCCUCCAAGGCUAAAUACUACCUAGUGACCGAUAGCGUAUAGUACCGUGAGGGAAAGGUGAAAAGAACCCCGGGAGGGGAGUGAAAUAGAACCUGAAACCCUACACUUACAAGCUGUGGAAGCACAUUUCUUGUGUGACCGCGUACUUUUUGUAGAACGGGCCAACGAGUUACGUUAAGUAGCAAGGUUAAGCACUUAUGGUGUGAAGCCGUAGCGAAAGCGAGUUUUAACUGAGCGUACAGUUAUUUGACGUAGACCCGAAACCGGGCGACCUACCCAUGAGCAGGAUGAAACGAAAGUAAAAUUUCGCGGAGGUCCGAACCCACGAGCGUUGAAAAGCUCGGGGAUGACUUGUGGGUAGCGGUGAAAUUCCAAUCGAGCCCGGAGAUAGCUGGUUCUCCCCGAAAUAGCUUUAGGGCUAGCCUUAAGUUUAGAGAUACGGAGGUAGAGCACUGAAUGUCCUAGGGGGUAUUGCACUUACCGAAGACUAUCAAACUCCGAAUGCCGUUAUCUUUUACUUAGGAGUCAGACUGUGGGUGAUAAGAUUCAUAGUCGAGAGGGUAACAACCCAGAUCGUCAGCUAAGGUCCCUAAAUGUAAGUUAAGUGGUAAAGGAUGUGGGAUUGCACAGACAACCAGGAUGUUGGCUUAGAAGCAGCCACUCAUUUAAAGAGUGCGUAAUAGCUCACUGGUCGAGUGAUCCUGCGCCGAAAAUUUCCGGGGCUAAAACUUACUACCGAAGCUACGACAUCAUUUAUGAUGGGUAGGGGAGCUUCCCAUACGGGUUGAAGCAUGACCGUAAGGACAUGUGGACUGUAUGGGAGUGAGAAUGUUGGCAUGAGUAGCGAGAUGUGGGUGAGAAUCCCACAGGCCGUAAACCCAAGGUUUCCAGGGGAAGGUUCGUCCGCCCUGGGUUAGUCGGGACCUAAGCUGAGGCCGAAAGGCGUAGGUGAUGGACAACAGGUUGAUAUUCCUGUACUACCGAUAACCGUUUGAGA
rnacentral:rRNA from 1 species